CCGAAGCGGGGGAUAACAUUUGGAAACAAGUGCUAAUACCGCAUAAUUAGUUGGAACCGCAUGGUUCCAACUUGAAAGAUGGCUCUGCUAUCACUUUGGGAUGGACCCGCGCCGUAUUAGUUAGUUGGUGAGAUAAAAGCCCACCAAGACGAUGAUACGUAGCCGACCUGAGAGGGUAAUCGGCCACAUUGGGACUGAGACACGGCCCAGACUCCUACGGGAGGCAGCAGUAGGGAAUCUUCCACAAUGGACGAAAGUCUGAUGGAGCAACGCCGCGUGAGUGAUGAAGGUUUUCGGAUCGUAAAACUCUGUUGUUAAAGAAGAACAAGUGUUAGAGUAACUGUUAACACUUUGACGGUAUUUAACCAGAAAGCCACGGCUAACUACGUGCCAGCAGCCGCGGUAAUACGUAGGUGGCAAGCGUUGUCCGGAUUUAUUGGGCGUAAAGCGAGCGCAGGCGGUUUUGUAAGUCUGCUGUGAAAGCCCUCAGCUCAACUGAGGAAGUGCAGUGGAAACUA
rnacentral:rRNA from 2 species